ACUUCCAGGUGUGUUACUGAAUGUAGUGGUCAUACUAAUUCUAAUUUCCUAGCAGAUAUGGGCACCCAAUUGGAUGAGCCCUUAUUCAGCAAGUGACCCCGGAUAUCAUUCAUGUAUGGAGAUUGUUCGUGCAACCUGACGCUCUGACUCUGCUUUGAAUUGUCUGCAAUCAGUUUUUUUUAUAGAUGAAACAGCUUGAUAUUUGAACAAUUUAUCAAUGUCGAUGACACAACCAGUACACGUGAAAACCCCCAAAAGCCAUUGGUGUAUGCAGAUGAUAUGGCUGUCAUCUCUUUUAGUUUUAGUUGCAUUUACUGAAGUGUUCUGUCACUUAAUUCUGCAAAUCAAUGAUCAACCUAACCCAGGUAUCCAUUCUAAUUACUCAUUUCAGUACCAUCCUACCAGACCCUUGUAUACAUUAUGUUCUCACUAGAUAUGAUGCUGAAGAAAAAACUAAGUGCACGAAAGAAAGAAGUGGUAGCUGGAGGAGAAGAUGUCGCUGCUGGUGGCGCGCCAUCGGGACUGACGGAAGGCGAUGGCAGGGACACCGCAACCCCAUCAUGGCGAGCAUUAGAUAUUGUUCUCAAUUAGAAAAAUCUUGAUGAUGUAAAUUAUCAUAUCAUUGUGAGCAUGAGCGUUGUUAUGAACUUUUGAUGAGUAUGUUCUGGUCCAGUCAUUAGCAGAUUGAUGGUGGUGUAUUUUUAUUUGAGUUGUACUCAGAAUUAUCACUGUUCAAGAUUUUCGUGCAAGUCUGCUA